UUACGUGCCGGGCGCCGCGCAGGGUGCUGGGGCCACUGGGGGCGUGGUCCCCAGGAGGGUGCGGGAGAACGGGAACCAAGUCAAUACACCAACAGGAUACUUAUGCGUGUCAAGGAGUGCUGGCGAGGAAGCCUCCGGGUAGAGACCCGGCCUAACAGGCCGCUGGGAGGGGGCGGGGCGGGGCCUCCCCACCUCUAACUCUCCGCCUCCUCUGCCGUGCAGCGUCGCAGGUGGCUAGGGGGCCCCCAAGGCUGCUCAGGGAAGGGGAGACACCCAGAAGCCAAGCAAAUGGAGAAAAACCGAUCAGAGGGUUCCCCUGGACCUGGGGGAAGAGAGGAAGAGACCACCAGGGACAGCCUAAGACAAGGAAGGAAGUGACAAAGGGGUUGAACCCUCAGGAGACGGAUGACUACAGGGCUUUUGUGAGAAUCAACUGGCAGGUGAGAAGAGGUAUGCAAAUUAUUACUCAUGAAGUGGGGACAGGUCACGGCAACUCUUGGCAAAGUGGAAAAAAAUUUUGGACAAAAGAGAACCCCCAGUCUUGCUGAGAACUUGACCAUCAAAAACAGAGUUUCCACCUUCCUUUGCAGCUACAUGACUCGGCCACACGAGCAGGGAUGGUGAUAUUGACUUCUCAAGGCCACAGCAUAUACUGGGUGGUCGCCAUCAUCACUACAAUGGGCAUAUGCCUCAUUGUGGUGUGUGAAGGUGGGACGUCUCCUCUGCUUGGAGAACAACAUGGCGGUAUCCAUCAGAAUCAUAAAUGCACUUAUCCCUGACUCAGAAAUGCACCCCAUGGCUGAACUUAUGCAUGUACACAGAGGGUGUGUACGGGGCAUAUUCACUGCACCGCCAUCUGUAUAACAAAAAACUGCAAUGUCUAUUAAGAGGGAACCUAUUAAAUAAAGUCUGGCAUAUCCAUGCCAGGGAAUACUGUAAAGCCAUUAAAAUAAGUGGA